UGCGUACGAUCCAUUUAUAUUGAGUCGCGUAGUUUGGGAAAGCAAGCGCAAAGUAGGUGGUAAAUUCCAUUCUAAAGCUAAAUAAUAGGUGCGGGACAGAUAGCGACCAAGUACCCGUGAGGGAAGAUGGAAAGAAACUUUGAAAAAGAGAGUUAAAGAGUACCGAAUCUGCUGAAAGGGAACCGAAUCGUUUCACAGUGUCUAUAUCCGUGGUAUAGUUCAUGGCGAGUGAGGCGUGCGUGUGCAGUGGCAGCUGCUUUUUUGGCUGCGCUCGGCGUGUGUGCUGAGUGUGCUUGAUGGUGCCCUGUGUAGCGGUGAGAAAUCAAGGUCAGUUGGUAUGCUGCGGGAAAUGGCCGCCGAGGAGGUAGGGCUUAC